UACGGGGGGGGUAAGCGUUGUUCGGAAUUACUGGGCGUAAAGGGCUCGUAGGCGGCCAACUAAGUCGGAUGUGAAAUCCCCAGGCUCAACUUGGGAACUGCAUCCGAUACUGGAUGGCUUGAAUCCGGGAGAGGGAUGCAGAAUUCCAGGUGUAGCGGUGAAAUGCGUAGAUAUCUGGAGGAAUACCGGUGGCGAAGGCGGCAUCCUGGACCGGCAUUGACGCUGAGGUGCGAAAGCGUGGGGAGCAAACAGG
rnacentral:rRNA from 1 species